GAAAUACUGAGGCUAGCCCUAAUUACCCAACCCAUGCAUACAAAAAGCCCUAGUUAACUAUGGCUAGGGUUUUGAAACGAGAAGCGAAGAAGACUCUAUAAAUUACUAGCAAUCUUCGUUUCAUUCGUCUCCUGCACAAGUGUUUGAAGAUGAGAUCCACAGUGCAAUUGUGGAUAAUAAGCUUUUCAAACAUGGUGAACGCAUUGCUAUUGGCGCUUCUGGUGGCGAAGGUAUUGCAAUGGAGCUUUUUCGUUGGAUUAGGAAAAAAUGGUAAGCUUCGAAUACUUGCACUCGGUGGGAUAAUACAAAAGGUUUUGUGUUUAUACACUCGACACAUGUUUUUGGUUUCAUGUCCUUGAUUGCAAUCAUUAUUGGCACACUGUAUUUGUCACACCAAAAGCCAAAACACAUGCAGUCAAUGUCGUCAUGCCAACUUGUAUCGGAAUUUGUAUUUCCUCUAUGAUUUUGCUCUGCACAUAUUUUAGUAUGAAAAGGAAACUGUGUAUUUGAAAAGCCAACUCCCUUUUAACAUUUCUCACAGUUAACCCAUUGAGAUCGGUUAAAUGUCUGUCUUCUUGAAGUUUAUGGUAAGAAUGUAUCACAAGUUGAAUUGCAUUUUUUUUU